rnacentral:rRNA from 1 species
GAUGAACGCUGGCGGCGUGCCUAAUACAUGCAAGUCGAGCGAACAGACGAGGAGCUUGCUCCUCUGACGUUAGCGGCGGACGGGUGAGUAACACGUGGAUAACCUACCUAUAAGACUGGGAUAACUUCGGGAAACCGGAGCUAAUACCGGAUAAUAUAUUGAACCGCAUGGUUCAAUAGUGAAAGACGGUUUUGCUGUCACUUAUAGAUGGAUCCGCGCCGCAUUAGCUAGUUGGUAAGGUAACGGCUUACCAAGGCAACGAUGCGUAGCUGACCUGAGAGGGUGAUCAGCCACACUGGAACUGAGACACGGUCCAGACUCCUACGGGAGGCAGCAGUAGGGAAUCUUCCGCAAUGGGCGAAAGCUUGACGGAGCAACGCCGCGUGAGUGAUGAAGGUCUUCGGAUCGUAAAACUCUGUUAUUAGGGAAGAACAAAUGUGUAAGUAACUAUGCACGUCUUGACGGUACCUAAUCAGAAAGCCACGGCUAACUACGUG